rnacentral:rRNA from 1 species
GAUGAACGCUGGCGGCGUGCCUAAUACAUGCAAGUAGAACGCUGAAGGAGGAGCUUGCUCUUUCCGGAUGAGUUGCGAACGGGUGAGUAACGCGUAGGUAACCUGCCUGGUAGCGGGGGAUAACUAUUGGAAACGAUAGCUAAUACCGCAUAACAGUAGAUAUUGCAUGAUAUUUGCUUGAAAGGGGCAAUUGCUCCACUACCAGAUGGACCUGCGUUGUAUUAGCUAGUUGGUGAGGUAACGGUUCACCAAGGCGACGAUACAUAGCCGACCUGAGAGGGUGAUCGGCCACACUGGGACUGAGACACGGCCCAGACUCCUACGGGAGGCAGCAGUAGGGAAUCUUCGGCAAUGGACGGAAGUCUGACCGAGCAAGGCCGCGUGAGUGAAGAAGGUUUUCGGAUCGUAAAGCUCUGUUGUAAGAGAAGAACGAGUGUGAGAGUGGAAAGUUCACACUGUGACGGUAUCUUACCAGAAAGGGACGGCUAACUACGUG